rnacentral:rRNA from 1 species
GAUGAACGCUGGCGGCGUGCCUAAUACAUGCAAGUCGAACGCACAGCGAUAGGUGCUUGCACCUAUCAAGUGAGUGGCGAACGGGUGAGUAACACGUGGACAACCUGCCUCAAGGCUGGGGAUAACAUUUGGAAACAGAUGCUAAUACCGAAUAAACUUAGUGUCGCAUGACACCAGGUUAAAAGGCGCUACGGCGUCACCUAGAGAUGGAUCCGCGGUGCAUUAGUUAGUUGGUGAGGUAAAGGCUCACCAAGACAAUGAUGCAUAGCCGAGUUGAGAGACUGAUCGGCCACAUUGGGACUGAGACACGGCCCAAAUCCUACGGGAGCUGCAGUAGGGAAUCUUCCACAAUGGGCGCAAGCCUGAUGGAGCAACGCCGCGUGUGUGAUGAAGGCUUU